UGCUGUCGAGCGGUAGAGAGAAGCUUGCUUCUCUUGAGAGCGGCGGACGGGUGAGUAAUGCCUAGGAAUCUGCCUGGUAGUGGGGGAUAACGUUCGGAAACGGACGCUAAUACCGCAUACGUCCUACGGGAGAAAGCAGGGGACCUUCGGGCCUUGCGCUAUCAGAUGAGCCUAGGUCGGAUUAGCUAGUUGGUGGGGUAAUGGCUCACCAAGGCGACGAUCCGUAACUGGUCUGAGAGGAUGAUCAGUCACACUGGAACUGAGACACGGUCCAGACUCCUACGGGAGGCAGCAGUGGGGAAUAUUGGACAAUGGGCGAAAGCCUGAUCCAGCCAUGCCGCGUGUGUGAAGAAGGUCUUCGGAUUGUAAAGCACUUUAAGUUGGGAGGAAGGGCAGUAGAUUAAUACUCUGCUGUUUUGACGUUACCGACAGAAUAAGCACCGGCUAACUCUGUGCCAGCAGCCGCGGUAAUACAGAGGGUGCAAGCGUUAAUCGGAAUUACUGGGCGUAAAGCGCGCGUAGGUGGUUAGUUAAGUUGGAUGUGAAAUCCCCGGGGCUCAACCUGGGAACUGCAUUCAAAACUGACUGACUAGAGUAUGGUAGAGGGUGGUGGA
rnacentral:rRNA from 1 species